rnacentral:ncRNA from 1 species
AUGACCAGUCUAUUCCGAUUGGUCCCGAUGGCAGAAAGUGAGCCUUGGUAUGGAAACCUGCUAAGUGGUAACUUCCAAAUUCAGAGAAACCCUGGAAUUAAAAAAGGGCAAUCCCGAGCCAAAUCCGUGUUUUGAGAAAACAAGGGGAAUACAAAGGAAAAGGAUAGGUGCAGAGACUCAAUGGAAGCUGUUCUAACGAAUCGAGUUAAUUACGUUGUGUUGUUAGCGGAAUUCCUUCUAAUUCUAAAUUAGAGAAAGAGGG